GCUUUUUUGCCAACACAUACACUAAAAUUGGAACAAUAUAGGGAAGAUUAGCAUGGCCCCUAAGUAAGGAUGACAUGGAAAUUCAUGAAGAUAUUGGUUAUCAAAUAUAU